GACGAACGCUGGCGGCGUGCCUAAUACAUGCAAGUAGAACGCUGAAGGAGGAGCUUGCUUCUCUGGAUGAGUUGCGAACGGGUGAGUAACGCGUAGGUAACCUGCCUGGUAGCGGGGGAUAACUAUUGGAAACGAUAGCUAAUACCGCAUAAGAGUAGAUGUUGCAUGACAUUUACUUAAAAGGUGCAAUUGCAUCACUACCAGAUGGACCUGCGUUGUAUUAGCUAGUUGGUGAGGUAACGGCUCACCAAGGCAACGAUACAUAGCCGACCUGAGAGGGUGAUCGGCCACACUGGGACUGAGACACGGCCCAGACUCCUACGGGAGGCAGCAGUAGGGAAUCUUCGGCAAUGGACGGAAGUCUGACCGAGCAACGCCGCGUGAGUGAAGAAGGUUUUCGGAUCGUAAAGCUCUGUUGUAAGAGAAGAACGAGUGUGAGAGUGGAAAGUUCACACUGUGACG
rnacentral:rRNA from 1 species